rnacentral:rRNA from 1 species
GUAGGGAAUAUUGCACAAUGGGGGGAACCCUGAUGCAGCAACGCCACGUGUGGGAAGAAGCAUUUCGGUGUGUAAACCACUGUCGUGAGGGAAUAAGGCUAUUUUUCGGAGUAGUUGAAUGUACCUCGAGAGGAAGCACCGGCAAACUUCGUGCCAGCAGCCGCGGUAAUACGAGGGGUGCAAGCGUUGUUCGGAAUCACUGGGCGUAAAGGGAGCGCAGGCGGAAGCUCAAGCGGAUUGUACAAUACCGGGGCCCAACCCCGGACCUGCAGUCCGAACUGGGUUUCUUGGAUAGUUCAGGGGCAAGCGGAAUUCCUGGUGUAGCGGUGGAAUGCGUAGAGAUCAGGAAGAACACCGAUGGCGAAGGCAGCUUGCUGGGGACUUAUCGACGCUCAUGCUCGAAAGUGCGGGUAGCAAACAGGAUUAGAAACCCCAGUAGUCC